UACGUAGGGGGCGAGCGUUGUCCGGAAUCAUUGGGCGUAAAGAGCGCGUAGGCGGCCCGACAAGUCCGCUGUGAAAGUCAAGGGCUCAACCCUUGAAUGCCGGUGGAUACUGUCGGGCUAGAGUCCGGAAGAGGCGAGUGGAAUUCCUGGUGUAGCGGUGAAAUGCGCAGAUAUCAGGAGGAACACCGAUGGCGAAGGCAGCUCGCUGGGACGGUACUGACGCUGAGGCGCGAAAGCGUGGGGAGCAAACAGG
rnacentral:rRNA from 1 species